rnacentral:ncRNA from 1 species
GAGAGCCGUGUGCAUUGAAAGGUGCAAGCACGGUUCGGAGGGGGACUGCUGGAAAAGUGCCCGACAGGGUAACUCGCCAGCAGUCUACCCUAC